GGGGGCGCAAUGGUUUCGACAGGUGCGCUUGACUGGUAUAGGAGCAUGUUCGGGCUUGGAACACAUCCCGAUAAAAAGGUGUUCUGCUGCAUAAUUGGCAACAAUUUUGCACUAGCAGCCUAACCAUAGGCUGCCGCCGUCUUUAAGGGUGCUGGUCUCUUUUAGUUCGGUGUCGUUUACCAGCUAGCUUGUUGGCAUUUCCGUCUGUAGUGUCGAUAGGUUAAAUUAAUCAGGCUACGUCUUGUCACGACUGAACGUGGGAACGGCAAGAAGGAGAUUUAAACACGUUUCUAAACAUGUAGAGCCUCUGCUGGUGGCUAUUUGGACGUGGGUUCAAUUCCCACCGCCUCCAUUA
rnacentral:tmRNA from 1 species